AACGCAGAUGGCGCCUCCUGGCUCUGCCGGGGGGCAUGCCUGUCUGAGAACCGCGACAACACCGUCUGGCGACACGUCGCCGACCUGGGCGCUCGGCAGCGACGCCCCGAAUCUGGCGGGAGGCGGCGCGGCACGCAGGGCGGCAUUCGGUGCGGCCUGCUCCGCCGCCGACCGGGCGGGCGCGUGGCGGUCCGGAGGGACGCGGCUGCGCAGCCGGCAGCGAUGAUGGUGGUCUCAGAUCAGGCAGGACGACCCGCUGAACUUAA
rnacentral:misc_RNA from 1 species